CAAACCAACUGGCAAGUCUUGAAGACUCAUAAGAGUGGUCUGGGAUUCAGUUAUGAAUAGUCUCUCUUACUGCUAUCAUAGAUCUUCACUGCCUUUGUGGGACAUGGCUGUCCCACUCCCAGGGAAUCUAUUUAACCAGGGCAAAUAAUUUAAACUGCAUCAAUUCAAGAAAAGCUACAAGGGUCCCCUUCCUUCUUUGUUUCCCUUUACCUCCUCCCCCCACCCCCAGAGAUCCCUAGUUUUCUCAGACUCCAUCCAAGCUGACUUGAAAGAAAUAACUGCCAGUGGAACACCCUUACUCUUUGCCUUCCCUUCCUCCUUCCCCAGACUCCCUUUGACAUGCCUUUCAUCCCUUCUAAGUGAAAAAAAAAAAAAGAUUUAACCAUUCAAAACAUUUGGAUAAUCUGAAAGUCACCAACUCAGGUCUUACCAUCUGCCUUGUUAUAAUGCUCUCCAGACCCCUGGGCACUUGACUUGCAUCUUCAAGACUUCAGGGACUUUCCUUCUGCCCUACCACUGGAUUCAUAAAUCUCAUCCCUUUCUAGGCUGUGCUGCUGACUCCUCUCCACAAGACUUUUUCUACCAUAAGCCUCUUGACCCUGAAGGUUACUCUCUCCCUGGACUCCUCACAUGGUCUCCCCUUCUAAUUAGUUCCUCCCAGACCCUCCCAUUUAAGCAGAAGGCCCAGGCCAAAGAUGGCUUCAUCCCUCUCCAGGCUGUAUUGCUGACUCCUCUCCGUAGGAAUUUCUCUACCAUGCUCCCGACCCCUUUUUGGUUUCUUCUUAUUCCUUCCUAUUCUUGCCUUCCCUAUUAGAAGAGGAUCAAUGACAUCACAAGGUUGGAUUUAAUUGGAUUCAAGUGAGGAAGAGUCAAGCAAAGUCCUAAGCCUCACUCUCCCUCUUCCAGGGCCACCAAAGUCAAGGGACAAGACAAAAAGCCAAGAGGACUGGCUAUGGCUUGGGAUACAAUGGAUGACCUCAAUGUCUUUGAUGUCUGACCAAGUGCUCCAUUGCACUUGCUUCAGCCACCUUUGUGGCCACUCCAAGAAAUUGUUCUCAUUCAUCCAUUCACAUGUCUGGGGCAGACAUCCUCCUAACUCACGGAUGGGUUUGAGGCCUGUCAGUUACCCUCAACCUGGUUUAGUCUGUCUGAUGAGACAAUUUUACCAGAAUGGGGCCAGUGUCCAUGUUACAGCUUCUUGGAGUCAAAGGGACUUGCAAGUGGAUGGACCAAUAUUGUAUAUGGCGAAGACAGUACAGACACAGUUACUCACAUCAUUUAAGAGAUAGCAUAGACUACCAUGUUUUCUCAAGAGUAGAUGAGGAAAAAGACAUGGAAAGUGGAGGUGGUUUUUAGUGCUUACAGUCUUCACCUACCACUCCUAAAUUUUGCUGAGCUCUAUUUUGUUUUAGUAUCUUCUAAAAUCUCUAAUACAAUAUGGCCUAGAGCCCCCAUACUCUCUAAAAAGGAUCUGCUUCCCCAAGCUCUCUGACUGCACUUACCCUCUUGAGAUUGCUAAGCCUUCUUCAAAGGCCUAUGAAUUAAAUGGGCAGAGAAAUUCCAAGAUCCUGCUGGGGUUUGGUGAUAGAGACAUAAAUUGAAGACUUUCUCCUCCUCCUCCUGUUAAAGCCCCCAAACACAUCUUGGAUCUAGGCCAGGACUGCUUUCUCCUCUCCUUAAAGCCUUGACUCACCUACUCCUUUAAUUCAUGGAUAAUCCUGCUCUUCCAAAUGGGUUAUUCUCCUAUGCCUACUGAAAAACAAGAAGCCAAUUUCUAUUUCUUUUCCUCUGACUCUAAAACAGGCAAAUAAUUCUUUUCAAGUUUCCUCAAGUGUGAUUUUUAUUUUCUUUUUCUGAAGACAACUACAGGAAAUUAUAGGGCCAGAACAAAACUACAGGAAAAGAGCAGGUAGUUAGUUAAGAUAGCAAAACAAUCAAGAAGUACAAAGUAUUGGAUAUUUUAACAGCUUAAAAUAAUAAUGAUGGUGAUAAUUCACAUUUAGAGAGUAUUUUAAGAUUCGCCAAGUAUUCUGCUCAGAUCUGGAGAACAAUUUAUACAGUAAUAACAUUGUAAACAGAAACAGCUUUGAAAGACUCAAGAACUCCAAUGGAGCAACCAGCCUUGAUUCUGAAAGACCAUUGAGGAAGAAUAUCCUUACAGACAUGGGAUGGAUUCCAGGUCCAUUUCUUGAUGUGUUUGCCUUCCUCUCUACAUCCCUGUCCCCAGCCUGAAAGAUAUGCCUUGUUUUGAGUUCAUUUACAAAACUGAGUCUAGUGACUAAUCAAACCCUUCUUCAGUUGUAUUUCCAACUCCCUCCACUUCCCUAGGACUUAGCAGUUGGGUAACCCCUAAGGAGUAAUUUUCCAGAAUCAUACCACUACAAUUUUACAAGAGAAAACCUACUUUACACAUGCCGUAAUGAUGACAGGCAAUUCCCACCAAAAGUAAGAGGAGAUCAUUAUCUCGAACAUUGCAGAGAAUGAAACAAAAUCACCAGUGGUGAAGAGAAAGCAGUAGUUAUACUGGACUGGAAAAGGGGAAGAAGAAAAAAAAAAAGCUUAGUUCCUCUUUAUUUUCUUUAUAAAGCCUUCCCUGACCACUGCAAGUGGUCUUUCUCUUCUCUAUCUAUAUCCCUAAUACUGCUUUGCUGUCUGUAUAUCUCAUUAGACAAUCAUAUAUUGUCUUGUGAAA